UAGGGAAUCUUCGGCAAUGGGGGCAACCCUGACCGAGCAACGCCGCGUGAGUGAAGAAGGUUUUCGGAUCGUAAAGCUCUGUUGUAAGAGAAGAACGUGUGUGAGAGUGGAAAGUUCACACAGUGACGGUAACUUACCAGAAAGGGACGGCUAACUACGUGCCAGCAGCCGCGGUAAUACGUAGGUCCCGAGCGUUGUCCGGAUUUAUUGGGCGUAAAGCGAGCGCAGGCGGUUUAAUAAGUCUGAAGUUAAAGGCAGUGGCUUAACCAUUGUUCGCUUUGGAAACUGUUAAACUUGAGUGCAGAAGGGGAGAGUGGAAUUCCAUGUGUAGCGGUGAAAUGCGUAGAUAUAUGGAGGCACACCGGUGGCGAAAGCGGCUCUCUGGUCUGUAACUGACGCUGAGGCUCGAAAGCGUGGGGAGCAAACAGG
rnacentral:rRNA from 1 species